CAGGUUUAGGCAAUAAAACUACAACUUCUUUAGGUUUAGGCAACAAAACUACAACUUUUGUAGGUUUAGGCAAUAAAACUACAACUUCUUUAGGUUUAGGCAAUAAAACUAUAACUUCUUUAGGUUUAGGCAAUAAAGCUACAAAUUCUUUAGGUUAGGCAAUAACACUACAACUUCUUUAGGUUUAGGCAAUAACACUACAACUUCUUUAGGUUUAGGCAACAAAACUACUUAGUUAGGUUUAAGAAA